GGGCGAAUGAUCUAGUGGUAUGGUGUCUGCUUCGCAUGACUCAGCGAUGGUUCGAUCUUUGUAGUAGAAUGUCCCGGGUUCAAUCCCCGGUUCGUCCA
rfam:Tilletiaria anomala TBC 951 K437scaffold_89, whole genome shotgun sequence.